CGUGUAGGCGGCUUGACAAGUCAGAUGUGAAAUUCCUGGGCUUAACCCAGGAAGUGCAUUUGAAACUGUUUGGCUGGAGUAAGGGAGAGGAAAGUGGAAUUCCUGGUGUAGAGGUGAAAUUCGUAGAUAUCAGGAGGAACACCGGUGGCGAAGGCGACUUUCUGGCCCUAUACUGACGCUGAGACGCGAAAGCGUGGGUAGCAAACA
rnacentral:rRNA from 1 species